rnacentral:lncRNA from 1 species
GCCUCAACCGCGCCCCUCCUUACCCCUUUAGUGGCGUCCUCCUAAUUUCCCUAGGCAUUCAGCAGCUGCUAUGCUCCCACUGCCGGCCAGAGACACUUUGGUUUUACACUUGGGCUUUUCGUUUUAAUUAUUUGUUCUUCCCUACCUCCUGCUAGUUAGUUUACAAGUUCUUUGAAACACCACCUUCUUUCGAUCCUGUGUCUUUACCUCGGAACAGUUACAUAAACGCUCUUCAGCCCGCUACAGAAUCCUAGCCGAGAUGCAGGUGUCUGAGUCCAGUGACUGUUUCGACAUAGGAAACUUGAGGGCUUAAGCAUAUGCUUUGUAAACCAGAGUCCCAUUCCCUGGGAGUCCCAGGUUCACCCCGCUUCGUUCAGGCUCUGUGCUCUGGGAGGUCUUUACGCCUCACGAGGAUGGCUGUGCCUGUGCCAUAUGGAAGAGCAGCUGGGGAAACCGAGAGAAAUAAAUUCAGAUGGAUUUUGGACCUGCAGAACCCUGCAUCGUAAAGUCUAACGGCUGAAGCAAUGAUACCAGACCAGAGGGAUCUGGGCUCCCUUCCCCACCUCGCUUCUGCUCUCGCUGUUCGGAUCUAGGUCCUGGCACCACAGUUUUCUAUACCAGAGAAGCAGCUCUCAAACUGGUUUCUGUUGACCUGUGCCAAUCUCGGGGACUCUUUAGGCACACAUUUAGUAAAGGGAACAGCUGUUCUCUGUGUUCUGGGUAUAUUGAAAUUCUUUGUUUACUUUGUUCUAAGUGUAUUGUAAUUCUCCUUUUGAUAAGUCUUCAUUUCUCUUUCUCCUCCCCAAAGAAGAGGAGCAGAAGGAGGAGGAAGAUGACAUCACAAUAAAAUAAGAGUAGACUUUCUCACCCACGGGUAAGUAUUCAAGACCUACUUACUUGGGGGCUUCCUCCUCUUCUUACUCUUGCAUGACCUCAUCCCAGGAGUUCCUAGACCAUUAAGCAGGACACGCUAUCUUUGACUAUGGAUUCAUGGAUGCUGUCUAUACUGGCAAUAGAAACCCUACCUAAGACACUGUAGAACCGGUGUCUGCUCCCAGCCAAGGCCUGAGUGGCUUCUGUAGCAGAAUGCUGGAAAGAAACUAGGAUUGUGAAAGAUAGAUUCAGCUCUCCCUGGAGAGAAGAAGAGACAUAUGUUAUCUCCAGGACAGUAAAAAGUGAUCCAGGCUAAUUAAACGCAGUAAAGGCUACUGAUGGAUUAGUGCACAAGUGUAAACCAAGACCCCAUGAGGUCUUCAUUGCGUCAAGCAUCUUCAUGAGUAUUUGACCUCGGCCCAGCAAGUGUGUGAUAAGAACAUCUACCCUUCACACAAAGACAUGGACUUGUGUGAGUUUGUCAGAGUGACUCCCUGCCAUCAGGUACCCUAGCACCUCCUUCUGAACCUAAG